GCUCACUUUGGCAGCAUCAACUAAAAUUGGAAAGAUACAGAAAAGAUUAGCAUGGCCCCUGCCCGAGGAUGACAUGCAAAUUCGUGAAGCGUUCCAUAUUUUU
ensembl:snRNA U6 U6 spliceosomal RNA